rnacentral:rRNA from 1 species
UACGUAGGGCGCAAGCGUUGUCCGGAAUUAUUGGGCGUAAAGAGCUCGUAGGCGGUCUGUCGCGUCCGUUGUGAAAACUCGAGGCUCAACCUCGGGCUUGCAGUGGAUACGGGCAGACUAGAGUGCGGUAGGGGAGACUGGAAUUCCUGGUGUAGCAGUGAAAUGCGUAGAUAUCAGGAGGAAUACCGAUGGACGAAGGCAGGUCGUCUGGGCUGACACUGACGCUCAUGCACGAAAGCGUGGGGAGCAAACAAGG